rnacentral:rRNA from 1 species
UAUGUGAUCGUCUCUCGCAUAUCAAUAAGCGGAGGAAAAGAAACUAACAAGGAUUCCCCUAGUAACGGCGAGUGAAGCGGGAAGAGCUCAAAUUUGAAAUCUUAAAGGGUUUCCCUUUACGAAUUGUAGUUUAAAGAAGUGUUUUCUGUUGAGGUUUUGGUAAAAGUUCUUUGGAAUAGGACAUCAUAGAGGGUGAGAAUCCCGUAUUUGACCUUUACUUUCAACUUUGUGAUACACUUUCAAAGAGUCGGAUUGUUUGGGAAAUGCAGUCCAAAAUGGGUGGUAAAUUUCAUCUAAAGCUAAAUAUUGGCGAGAGACCGAUAGCGAACAAGUACCGUGAGGGAAAGAUGAAAAGAACUUUGAAAAGAGAGUUAAACAGUACGUGAAAUUGUCAAAAGGGAAGCGUUUGACACCAGUGUUGUUUUUCUGAAAAUCAAUUAAAGAACUGUUUAUGCUAAGCUGUUUAGACUUUAUCAGCUAUCUGCUUAGUUUUGAGCUUUUCUUUAAUGCACUUUUCAGUUAACAAGUCAACAUCAAUUUCUUUUGCUGUAAAAAAGCUUGAGGAAGGUGGCUUGAGAUUCGUCUUAAGUGUUUAUAGCCUCUUGCCUAUGCAGUCGGAGAGAUUGAGGUCUGCAGCGUAGAUCCUUCGGGGCUAAAUGCAUUUGUGCUAAGUUAUAGCAUUUUAUAGACAACUUGUUGACUAUGAUUUGUCUUGUAGCUUACUCGCUUAUGUUAUUUUACCUACGCUUAGGAUGUUGAUCUACAGAGCGAGAGU